rnacentral:rRNA from 1 species
AUGAAGCUUGCUCUUAUUUGUUGCAUUCUGCAUAACCGGAUCCUGCAAUGGGGUUGUGAUGAACUGGUGCAUAAGGAGGAAGAUGUGACGCCUGACGAUGUUGUCAGCUCCAACCAUGAUCGUGUGUGGGUGCAGGCCACGGCAACCCUCAAAGGAAAAAUUGGUCAUCACAGGAGAGGAGGGAGCGCGGCCACACACGGCCUCGCCCCCACACGACGAAGCCCCCGCCGCGUCCACCGCACACUUUUCGCGCCCCCCUCGGCGUCGGCACGGGUCUCGGCCGAGCCAAAUCAGGCGCCGAGUUCGUCCCCUCCCUCCCUCCGUCGGGUCGGUCCGAGCGACGAAGCCCUAUCCGGUGUCACCCGACCCGAGAGACCCAUCGGUUCGCCUCCUUCGUUAUAA